rnacentral:rRNA from 1 species
GCCCCCCUAAUUUUGCAAGUCGAACGGCAGCACGGCAGUAGCAAUACUGUGGGUGGCGAGUGGCGGACGGGUGAGGAAUACAUCGGGAUCUACCCUGUUGUGGGGGAUAACGUAGGGAAACUUACGCUAAUACCGCAUAAGAACUGAGGUUGAAAGCGGCGGACCGCAAGGCGUCGCGCGAUUGGAUGAACCGAUGUCCGAUUAGCUAGUUGGCGGGGUAAAGGCCCACCAAGGCGACGAUCGGUAGCUGGUCUGAGAGGACGACCAGCCACACUGGAACUGAGACACGGUCCAGACUCCUACGGGAGGCAGCAGUGGGGAAUAUUGGACAAUGGGCGCAAGCCUGAUCCAGCCAUGCCGCGUGGGUGAAGAAGGCCUUCGGGUUGUAAAGCCCCUUUGUCCGGAAAGAAAAGCAUUCGGUUAAUACCCGGGUGUUCUGACGGUACCGGAAGAAUAAGCACCGGCUAACUUCGUGCCAGCAGCCGCGGUAAUACGAAGGGUGCAAGCGUUACUCGGAAUUACUGGGCGUAAAGCGUGCGUAGGUGGUUCGUAAGUCUGUCGUGAAAUCCCCGGGCUCACCCU